GAUGAACGCUGGCGGCGUGCUUAACACAUGCAAGUCGAACGCAUCUUUUCUUCGGAAGGGGUGAGUGGCAGACGGGUGCGUAACACGUGGGUGACCUGCCUCGGAGUGGGGAAUAACUAUCCUAACGGAUGGCUAAUACCGCAUAGGCUCGGCGCUUCAGUGCGUUGAGUAAAGUCGCAAGACGCUUCGAGAUGGGCCUGCGGCGGAUUAGGUAGUUGGUGGGGUAAUGGCCUACCAAGCCGAUGAUCCGUAGGGGGCGUGAGAGCGUGGCCCCCCACACUGGCACUGAGAUACGGGCCAGACUCCUACGGGAGGCAGCAGUGAGGAAUAUUGCACAAUGGGCGCAAGCCUGAUGCAGCAACGCCGCGUGAGGGACGAAGGCCUUCGGGUCGUAAACCUCUUUUUUGAGGGACGAGAUCAGGACGGUACCUCAAGAAUAAGUCUCGGCUAACUACGUGCCAGCAGCCGCGGUAAAACGUAGGAGGCGAGCGUUAUCCGGAUUUACUGGGCGUAAAGCGCGCGCAGGCGGCUUCGUUAGUCGGAUGUGAAAGCUCCUGGCUUAACUGGGAGAGGCCAUUCGAUACUGCGAGGCUUGAGUAUGGGAGAGG
rnacentral:rRNA from 1 species